GACGAACGCUGGCGGCGUGCCUAAUACAUGCAAGUAGAACGCACAGUUUAUACUGUAGCUUGCUACACCAUAGACUGUGAGUUGCGAACGGGUGAGUAACGCGUAGGUAACCUGCCUGGUAGCGGGGGAUAACUAUUGGAAACGAUAGCUAAUACCGCAUAAUAUUGAUUAUUGCAUGAUAAUUGAUUGAAAGAUGCUAUUGCAUCACUACCAGAUGGACCUGCGUUGUAUUAGCUAGUAGGUGAGGUAACGGCUCACCUAGGCGACGAUACAUAGCCGACCUGAGAGGGUGAUCGGCCACACUGGGACUGAGACACGGCCCAGACUCCUACGGGAGGCAGCAGUAGGGAAUCUUCGGCAAUGGACGAAAGUCUGACCGAGCAACGCCGCGUGAGUGAAGAAGGUUUUCGGAUCGUAAAGCUCUGUUGUAAGAGAAGAACGGGUGUGAGAGUGGAAAGUUCACACUGUGACGGUAUCUUACCAGAAAGGGACGGCUAACUACGUG
rnacentral:rRNA from 1 species